rnacentral:piRNA from 1 species
UGGUUUAUUGAUGGAUGAAUCUAUUGUGA